UUAGGAAUAAGCCACGCAUGAGUAUGUGCUCGUGGUAUGCGUGGCGUGGUGGUCAGCACGUGAGCUAGCUAGAUGGACAUGCAUGCAUGUAUUAGUUGCGGUGUUUAGCAGGUUGUUAGCUGCGGCCGGUGGAGAUGGCCGCGUCAAGCGCGUGGCGCGUGUAGCGUGCAUGGCCGGGCUGAUUGUUUGCAUGCAGCGGAUAGCUAGCUGGAGAAACGUGGGCGUUGCGUUUGCUGUAGGGCUACAAAGCUGCCGUCGUGGGUAUGUGUUUGUACUGAGUUGAGCACCAUGUAGACAUUGCAAAGAGGAAAAAGAUUCGGGCGUUCGUGCGCCCGUGGCGGCGUUCGUGCGCCGACCGGAAAAUCUCGUGUCUUGUGUCUUCUUCUUCCUCUAGCCGAGAGUGAGAGAGGGCUGCGGUUCCAACAAUUGGUAUCAUGAGCUUGGUGUCUUGGGUGCGCUUGCCGUGCCGGAGGCGUGGUCGCGAUGGCGGCGCUCGCCGGCGGCUGCGCGUUGGAGCUCCGGGCCGUGUGUCGGCCCAUGGAGGUGGGCGGCGUUGUGGCUGUCAUGGCGCGUGGCGGAUGCGGCGGGCGGUGACGUCGUACGUGCGGCGACCGCGGAGGCCGCCGAGGCGCUGCGUGGUGGCGCGGCGGCACAACACGGUGUGGCGGCGUGGAGGCACUGCAUGGCGGCAUGGAGGCCGCGGCGGUGCAGGGCAAUAAGACGCGGCGACGAGCCGGGCGCAACCGGUGCGUGUUAUGGGUGCGCACUGGACGCGUCGGGACCGCGGGAGUGGACCCCGUCGAGGCGCUGGACCUGGUUGCGCAGAUCGCGUACGUGCGCGGCGGGAGCGCGGGCCGGGAGCGCGGGGACGUGGGGAGUGCGCGCGAAGGGCGCGACGGUCGCGGAGACGAGGAGGUCGCGAAGGACCUGCGUGAUGGCGUAGAGGUCGCGACGGCUCGGGGCGACAACCGUGGAAGGUGCGUGACACGUAGGCGCGGCGUGGCGGCUGCCAUGGCGGACGCGGAGGCGGCACGCGGUGAGCGUCUGGUGCUGUCGGGCUCGUCGGGCGCGUCGGAUGCGCGCGGGACGUGCGGGACGCACUGGUGUGGCCAGGCUCGUCGGGCGCGUCGGGUGCGCGCGGGACGUGCGGGACGCGGAAGGACGCCAAGCGUGUGUCGCCGGCGGAGAUGGAGCUCGGCGUAUGUCGCCGGGGUCGUGACGGAGCACGGUGUAAACGGCGUCGGUGCGCCAGGUCGGGUCCUUGGCGGUGCGACCGGCGUCGAUGCGCCGGGUCGGGUCCGCGGGCUGGAUCACGGCCGUGACGAUGGCAAUGACAGGAGCUACAACAACUCCGGCGACGGCGAGGUCGUGGCUUAGGGGGAGAAUGUUAGGAAUAAGCCACGCAUGAGUAUGUGCUCGUGGUAUGCGUGGCGUGGUGGUCAGCACGUGAGCUAGCUAGAUGGACAUGCAUGCAUGUAUUAGUUGCGGUGUUUAGCAGGUUGUUAGCUGCGGCCGAUGGAGAUGGCCGCGUCAAGCGCGUGGCGCGUGUAGCGUGCAUGGCCGGGCUGAUUGUUUGCAUGCAGCGGAUAGCUAGCUGGAGAAACGUGGGCGUUGCGUUUGCUGUAGGGCUACAAAGCUGCCGUCGUGGGUAUGUGUUUGUACUGAGUUGAGCACCAUGUAGACAUUGCAAAGAGGAAAAAGAUUCGGGCGUUCGUGCGCCCGUGGCGGCGUUCGUGCGCCGACCGGAAAAUCCCGUGUCUUGUGUCUUCUUCUUCCUCUAGCCGAGAGUGAGAGAG
rnacentral:lncRNA from 1 species